rnacentral:lncRNA from 1 species
CAUCUCAACAAAAAUCAUUGAUCCGAAAAUGAUCUUAGUGAGUUCUCACGAUCCACCAGUGAUGUUUAGCAGCAUGUAGUAACAACUCAGUAAAAUAAAAAAAUAAAUCUCUAAGUGCAGUUAUCAUGUGAUACAAUCCCUCUAUCAUGAAUCCCGACUUGAUAGAGGUCAUGGAGAACUCGUCAAACUCCAUCAUCAGUUAUAUGC